rnacentral:lncRNA from 1 species
CCCAUGUCUCACAACGGACUCAAAAGAAUGCCUUUUGGGCUGGGUCACUGGACCCAAGACUUCGUAAGCCAUGUCCUCUACUAUCUGUACAAACGAGUCCAAGUCGGCACCCCUCUCCUUACUAAGCUCAAAGCAGGGGUAUGGCACAACCUUCUUACACCAAGAUACCUUCUUCUCAACGAGCUCAAACGACUUUGCAAAAUCAGCAGACAAAGGCCACGCUAGGGCGGCGACAUACUCCUCCACAAGGUCACGCCCAGAUAUCAAGGGCCCAGCAGCCCUAUAAGCAGCCUCGCACUUCG